rnacentral:lncRNA from 1 species
CAUUACAGGACUACUGACUUUGGUAGGGGAUGUUUGACUAAUUAAUGAUUCUUACUUUACAGAAAACAGCAUUACAUUUUAAUAGGAAAUUUCAACCUGAACAGUCCUCCUUCAUCAGAAGAAAGAUGGUGAACUUGAAUGUUUUUCACUUCUUUGCAAUGCACAAAGAAUUCUGUGCUGGUGCAAGCGUUAAAGAUAGAGUGUAACAGCAUUCUCCCCACCUUUCAACAUGUUCCAUGUACCAGGAGCCCGACAUUACCAUGUCUCAGGAUGAUCUCUCUGGAGCUGUAUAUUUACCCUUGUGAAAGACCAAGAUUCUCUCACCUAUUUUCUCUGAAAUCAAUAAGAAGACACACAGCCCCGUUUAUACAAGAAGCAGCAAUUCCCAGAGAAAAUAGCGUUUAA